GUGAAAUUCCGUCGGAAUCCGGGAGGACCAUCUCCCAAGGCUAAAUACUCCCUAGUGACCGAUAGUGAACCAGUACCGUGAGGGAAAGGUGAAAAGCACCCCGGAAGGGGAGUGAAACAGUUCCUGAAACCGUGUGCCUACAAGUAGUUAGAGCCCGUUAAUGGGUGAUAGCGUGCCUUUUGUAGAAUGAACCGGCGAGUUACGAUUUGUUGCAAGGUUAAGCGGAAAAAGCGGAGCCGUAGCGAAAGCGAGUCUGAAUAGGGCGCAUAAGUAACAGGUCGUAGACCCGAAACCAGGUGAUCUACCCAUGUCCAGGAUGAAGGUAAGGUAAUACUUACUGGAGGUCCGAACCCACGCACGUUGAAAAGUGCGGGGAUGAGGUGUGGGUAGCGGAGAAAUUCCAAUCGAACUUGGAGAUAGCUGGUUCUCUCCGAAAUAGCUUUAGGGCUAGCCUCGAGGUAAAGAGUCAUGGAGGUAGAGCACUGUUUGGACUAGGGGCCCUUCUCGGGUUACCGAAUUCAGAUAAACUCCGAAUGCCAUGUACUUAUACUCGGGAGUCAGACUGCGAGUGAUAAGAUCCGUAGUCGAAAGGGAAACAGCCCAGACCACCAGUUAAGGUCCCCAAAUAUAUGUUAAGUGGAAAAGGAUGUGGGGUUGCUUAGACAACCAGGAUGUUGGCUUAGAAGCAGCCACCAUUGAAAGAGUGCGUAAUAGCUCACUGGUCGAGUGACCCCGCGCCGAAAAUGUACCGGGGCUAAACAUAUUACCGAAACUGUGGAUGAACCUCUUUAGAGGUUCGUGGUAGGAGAGCGUUCUAAGGGCGGUGAAGUCAGACCGGAAGGACUGGUGGAGCGCUUAGAAGUGAGAAUGCCGGUAUGAGUAGCGAAAGAAGGGUGAGAAUCCCUUCCACCGAAUAUCUAAGGUUUCCUGAGGAAGGCUCGUCCGCUCAGGGUUAGUCGGGACCUAAGCCGAGGCCGAUAGGCGUAGGCGAUGGACAACAGGUAGAGAUUCCUGUACCAGUGCUAAUUGUUUAACCGAUGGGGUGACACAGAAGGAUAGGGAAUCGCACGAAUGGAAAUGUGCGUCCAAGCAGUGAGUGUGAGAAGUAGGCAAAUCCGCUUCUCGCGAAGCAUGAGCUGUGAUGGGGAAGGAAAUUAAGUACGGAAGUUCCUGAUUUCACGCUGUCAAGAAAAGCCUCUAGGAAGAGUAGUACUGCCCGUACCGCAAACCGACACAGGUAGAUGAGGAGAGAAUCCUAAGGUGAGCGAGAGAACUCUCGUUAAGGAACUCGGCAAAAUGACCCCGUAACUUCGGGAGAAGGGGUGCUCUAUUAGGGUGCAAGCCCGAGAGAGCCGCAGUGAAUAGGCCCAGGCGACUGUUUAGCAAAAACACAGGUCUCUGCAAAACCGUAAGGUGACGUAUAGGGGCUGACGCCUGCCCGGUGCUGGAAGGUUAAGAGGAGUGCUUAGCUUCGGCGAAGGUACGAAUUGAAGCCCCAGUAAACGGCGGCCGUAACUAUAACGGUCCUAAGGUAGCGAAAUUCCUUGUCGGGUAAGUUCCGACCCGCACGAAAGGCGCAACGAUCUGGGCACUGUCUCAACGAGAGACUCGGUGAAAUUAUAGUACCUGUGAAGAUGCAGGUUACCCGCGACAGGACGGAAAGACCCCGUGGAGCUUUACUGCAACCUGAUAUGGAAUGUUUGUACCGCUUGUACAGGAUAGGUAGGAGCCGAAGAGACGUGUGCGCUAGCAUACGAGGAGGCAAUGGUGGGAUACUACCCUGGCUGUAUGACCAUUCUAACCCGCCACGCUUAGCGCGUGGGGAGACAGUGUCAGGUGGGCAGUUUGACUGGGGCGGUCGCCUCCUAAAGAGUAACGGAGGCGACCAAAGGUUCCCUCAGAAUGGAUGGAAAUCAUUCGCAGAGUGUAAAGGCACAAGGGAGCUUGACUGCGAGACUGACAAGUCGAGCAGGGACGAAAGUCGGGCUUAGUGAUCCGGUGGUUCCGCAUGGAAGGGCCAUCGCUCAACGGAUAAAAGCUACCCCGGGGAUAACAGGCUUAUCUCCCCCAAGAGUCCACAUCGACGGGGAGGUUUGGCACCUCGAUGUCGGCUCGUCGCAUCCUGGGGCUGUAGUCGGUCCCAAGGGUUGGGCUGUUCGCCCAUUAAAGCGGCACGCGAGCUGGGUUCAGAACGUCGUGAGACAGUUCGGUCCCUAUCCGUCGCGGGCGCAGGAAAUUUGAGAGGAGCUGUCCUUAGUACGAGAGGACCGGGAUGGACACACCGCUGGUGUACCAGUUGUUCCGCCAGGAGCAUCGCUGGGUAGCUAUGUGUGGCAGGGAUAAACGCUGAAAGCAUCUAAGCGUGAAGCCCCCCUCAAGAUGAGAUUUCCCAUUUCUUCGGAAAGUAAGAUCCCUGAAAGAUGAUCAGGUAGAUAGGUUUGGAGUGGAAGUGUAGCGAUACAUGGAGCGGACAAAUACUAAUCGAUCGAGGACUUAACCAAAA
rnacentral:rRNA from 1 species